rnacentral:rRNA from 1 species
GACAGAGGAUGCAAGCGUUAUCCGGAAUGAUUGGGCGUAAAGCGUCUGUAGGUGGCUUUUCAAGUCCGCCGUCAAAUCCCAGGGCUCAACCCUGGACAGGCGGUGGAAACUACCAAGCUGGAGUACGGUAGGGGCAGAGGGAAUUCCGGUGGAGCGGUGAAAUGCAUUGAGAUCGGAAAGAACACCACGGCGAAAGCACUCUGCUGGCCGACACUGACACUGAGAGACGAAAGCUAGGGGAGCAAAUGG